AUUCAGCAAACAUCAGUUGACUAUCCAUUCAUGGCCUGACUAUGCUCCAGUGUGGCCUGGUUCCCAACAGGACUGGAACAGGGCUCUACCAUUGUCCUUUAGUCCUGGUGUGGAAAGGUUUGGGCAACAUGAGGCCGGCUGUCGGGAGCUGUGCAGGGCUCAGUGACAGGAGAGUGGUACAAUGCAGCCUGUACCUGUCAGCCCGGAAGUGCAGGAGCCAGGCAGGCUAAGGAAUUCUGCAGCACUCUGCACACCUCCGCUUCCAGUACACACUUCCAUGUGCCACCCACUCACCUUUCUCUUACUGUUACAGAUACCUGAGAUACUCAGCUUAGAGAGAAGGAAAGCUUAUUUUGGUGCAUGGCUUUAUUAUUAUUAUUAUUAUUAUUAUUUUAUUAUUUUGUACCGGGAUUGAACUCAAGACCUUGCGCUUGCGAGGCAGGCAUAUUAAUAUUAUUAUUAUUGGCUUUUUUGAGACAGGGUCUCAUUGUGCAGUUCAGGCUGGCCUCAAACUCACUUUGUACCCCAUGCUGGCCUGCAACUCAUCAUGUUCCUCCUGCCUCAGCUUCCCGAGUUCUGGGAUUACAGGCAUGUGCCAUCACGCACACGGCUGGGCUCGUGGUUUUCGAGCUGAGUCUGUGAUUGGUUGGCCCUGUUGCCUUGACAGGAACAUGUGGCAGGGCACAGCCGGUCAUCCUGUCUGUGUUUGGGGGACACCUGAGAUCCGAACCAGAGCACCCACUUUGCUGUACCCUCCCAGAGAUGCCUUGAAAGCGGAACUGUUGGACUCAUGUUGACCAGUGCUUGACCAGCGUCCAUUGCGAGCAUGAAUAAAGUCCAUUUACGCUUUCCCCAUGACUAACUCCUGAUCCUCCCAAGCCCUGGACUCCUAAAGAGCAACAGGGCCUCUGCUGUGCUGGAAGAGUCAGGGUUUGGCCUGACUGCUGAUUUCUUUCUGCUAAAUUUUACACCCCCUUUGCCACCUUCCCCCAGGACCCCGUGGGCCAUGAGAAUGGUAGAUGCUGAGACACAAGACUCCAAGAGCCAGCACAAGGAUGGAGGCUUGUGACACAGCGCGGUGGACAGGAGUGGAGGGGCCAGUCCUGCUUUGGCUCCUUUGAGCCGUGCGGCCUCAGCUGUAUUCCUAACCUCAUUGCUGCCAUGGUACAGUGGGGUCUCCAGACUCCACCUGGUUGGAUUGUGUGAGGACAGAGACCAGCAUAUGGAGAACCCAGGCUUUGGCCAAAGCCAGAUCAUUUCCACAGCACGAGAUGAACCACAUUUGGAAGAAGAACUGCUCCUGAACUUGGAGAACUAAAAACAAAACAAAAAAAUUUCUAAGAGUCUUAAAGGCACAGCAAGUUUGUAAAUUGGGUGACACCUCCGCCCUCAAGGAAGCCACAGUUAUUCAUGAGUAGCAGACCUCGACUUCAGCACACAUGGAAAUGGUUUGCAUGCCGACAUCGCCGGCCAGGUGGGUGACACCAGAUGGUCACCGUGACCAACAGCAGGAGCACACAGCCUGGAUCACCCAUCUUGAAGACACCCCAGGAACCCAUAAAUAAACCAGCUUUGGAUCAUAAGGUCGCUCUCUCUCUGGAGGGCCCAUGCUCUGUUUCUUUGAACCGUGGGACUGGCUUUGGCCAAGGGACAGCAGCGAAGGUCACGCGCACAUGGGCUUGGCGAGCACUUGUGCACGUGGACUUCUGUCUGCUUUUGUGGCACGUGG
ensembl:lncRNA